ensembl:lncRNA
CAGAUUUCUGACGGUCUCCCUGCCAGUCCCAUUGAGCUGCAUUAUUAGACUGCUGUCUCGUGGCUCACAAAAGGCUUCAAUACACCAUUCAGAACCCGUGCAGAACCUUCCAUCAAACGCGGUCAUUAUCUGAGGCGAGGCGCGUCGCUUAAGCACGAGACUAAAUAGACUUCAAAAACAUAACAUCGAUUUUAUUGCAGAAACCAUAACUCUCCGACACGAAACGGAAAAUGAAACAAUGUCCUGAUUUUUUGAACAACAAGAGGGUGUGUUUCUUUUUUCUCUCUUUCCUUGCAGACAAUUCAUCAGGCGUUCGUCCAAAUAUCGCAGUGGUCCUCCUGAUUCAGUGUCUCUCCGCCGGCCCCGGGUCAGAGCUGCGGCGUCCACCCACGGGCUGAUUUAUCGCGGCCGGGGUUACGCUCAGAGAGGAGAGCAGAGGAGGUGCUGCGGAGAGAUCUCCUCCUAAACCUCAGCAUGCCAAGAGGAGGCGCAGAGAGGAUGGAAGGCAGGGGAGACGGAGCCCUUGGUGUUCUGGUUCCCAGCAGUCUUUUGUGUGGCGGGGGUCGGGUCCGGGACGGCCUCCCCCUUGGACCUCCAGCGGUACUGCAGUGGAAGUGUGAAGAACAACAGAAUAUUCACAGAUGAAUAAACACAGGUAUUUGGGCAACACAAAAUCCCGGUAACAUCCAAUCAUCCUUUCUAUUUAUAGCCCACAUGUUACACGGGGAAGUGGAGUCACCGUGCUUGCGCUGUUUGUUGGAAGGACAAAACUUUUUUGGGGUGUUUCAGAUCAACAUUUAUGGGGAUUUCACUGAAACAUAUUCAUCGUUGUUGCUUUUUUUCAUAUAUAAAUGUAGGUGCUGGAAAAGUCAUCCUUAUUGAAUGUUCUCUCCACUUCUUCAGCCAAUCAAAAAGGACAUCAAAAGAACACAAGAUGCUUACCUAAAAAACUAGGUUGCCAAGUUUGCGAGGCUGCAACUUUUAAUACACAAGAACCCAGGGCGUAAUAGCAAUCAAACGGUUAUAUAUAGAGAGGAAACCAGGUCAAUGAAUGUGAUACUGCUCCUGUUCCCACUGUGAGUCAAACUGCGAUUUAAUUUGUACACCUGAGCACACAUUAGAUCAAGUAAUUUAGAUUUAGAUUUAAUAAUUUAGGUACGAGUGGCAUGGAUAACCAUAAUCUAAAAAAAUAUAUGAUGAUAAAAAAGACACACAGGGAUGAGGGUACAAACCCCUGAAAUGACCGUAAUAAUCUAUUUGCAUUCCAUCCCACUGAAAACUGAAAGCAUUGCAGGUGAACAGCAUUGCAAACAAAUAAGCAGAAAAGGGGAAAGGGAAAGUCAGAAGCAAUGUGAAAAUAUUAUGACAAGGCAGAGAUUAAAUAAGGACCAUUGUAUGAAUGACAAAUGACAAAAAGAAACACACAGAGAAACACACAAUAGAACCAGAUUUUAAAUAUGUGGUUCAUGUAUCGCUGAACACUGGGUGUAUUUGAUUGGUCGGCUUCCAGCUCAACUGAAACAUGCCUGGUGGCUCGCUACGGAUUAGCUAGGCGUUGUGCGCGUGAAGUGAGUCACAUGACAAGUCCACAGGCGGGAACUCCUACUACUGUUAAUGUGUCUGUGUGUGUGUGUGUGUGUGUG